rnacentral:rRNA from 1 species
CCCGCUGAACUUAAGCAUAUCAAUAAGCGGAGGAAAAGAAACUAACAAGGAUUCCCCUAGUAACUGCGAGUGAAGCGGGAAAAGCUCAAAUUUAAAAUCUGGCAGCCAUUUUACGGUUGUCCGAGUUGUAAUCUAGAGAAGUGCUUUCCGCGCUGGACCGUGUACAAGUCUCUUGGAAUAGAGCAUCAUAGAGGGUGAGAAUCCCGUCUUUGACACGGACUACCAGUGCUUUAUGUGAUGCGCUCUCAAAGAGUCGAGUUGUUUGGGAAUGCAGCUCANAAUGGGUGGUAAAUUCCAUCUAAAGCUAAAUAUUGGCGAGAGACCGAUAGCGAACAAGUACCGUGAGGGAAAGAUGAAAAGAACUUUUGGAAGAGAGUUAAACAGUACGUGAAAUUGUUNNGAAGGAAACGCUUNGAGUCAGUCACGUUGGCCAGAAAUCACUUNGUACAGGGGCGUAAUUUCUGGUUUUACGGGUCAACAUCAAUUUUGAUUGUUGGAUAAAAGUCAAUAUUUAUGCGUUUUCGGACGUGUAGCCUUUGAUUGCAUACAAUGGUUGGGAUUGAGGAACUCAGCACGCCGCAAGGCCGGGUAACUUGUUACCACGUAACGUGCUUAGGAUGUUGGCAUAAUGGCUUUAAUCGACCCGUCUUGAAACACGG